UAGGCGUAAAUAGAUGCGAGUUAAGUGUGGGGGCGAUCUACGAGAUGGCCCUGUGCUGUAGGGUAGCCGUUAAACUCGCUGCCUGGGGAGUACGGUCGCAAGGCUGAAACUUAAAGGAAUUGGCGGGGGGAGCACCACAAGAGGUGGAGGCUGCGGUUCAAUUGGAUUCAACGCCGAAAAACUCACCAGGAGCGACGGAUAUAUGAAGGUCAAGCUGAUGACUUUACCUGAUUUUCCGAGAGGAGGUGCAUGGCGUAGUCGUGU
rnacentral:rRNA from 1 species